rnacentral:rRNA from 1 species
UACGGAAGGCAGCAGUGGGGAAUAUUGCACAAUGGGCGCAAGCCUGAUGCAGCCAUGCCGCGUGUAUGAAGAAGGCCUUCGGGUUGUAAAGUACUUUCAGUCGUGAGGAAGGUGUUAAGGUUAAUAACCUUAGCAAUUGACGUUAGCAACAGAAGAAGCACCGGCUAACUCCGUGCCAGCAGCCGCGGUAAUACGGAGGGUGCGAGCGUUAAUCGGAAUUACUGGGCGUAAAGGGCACGCAGGCGGUUAAUUAAGUUGGAUGUGAAAUCCCCGGGCUUAACCUGGGAAUGGCAUUCAAGACUGGUUAGCUAGAGUCUUGUAGAGGGGGUAGAAUUCCAUGUGUAGCGGUGAAAUGCGUAGAGAUGUGGAGGAAUACCGGUGGCGAAGGCGGCCCCUGGGACAAAGACUGACGCUCAUGUGCGAAAGCGUGGGGAGCAAACAGGAUUAGAUACC